UACGUAGGUGGCAAGCGUUGUCCGGAAUUAUUGGGCGUAAAGCGCGCGCAGGCGGCUUCUUAAGUCUGAUGUGAAAGCCCACGGCUCAACCGUGGAGGGUCAUUGGAAACUGGGGAGCUUGAGUACAGAAGAGGAGAGUGGAAUUCCAUGUGUAGCGGUGAAAUGCGUAGAUAUAUGGAGGAACACCAGUGGCGAAGGCGGCUCUCUGGUCUGUAACUGACGCUGAGGCGCGAAAGCGUGGGGAGCAAACAGG
rnacentral:rRNA from 1 species